UGGGGAAUUUUCCGCAAUGGGCGAAAGCCUGACGGAGCAAUGCCGCGUGGAGGUGGAAGGCCUACGGGUCGUCAACUUCUUUUCUCGGAGAAGAAACAAUGACGGUAUCUGAGGAAUAGGCAUCGGCUAACUCUGUGCCAGUAGCC
rnacentral:rRNA from 1 species